rnacentral:rRNA from 1 species
UACAGAGGGUGCGAGCGUUGUUCGGAAUUACUGGGCGUAAAGCGCGCGCAGGCGGCCUUUUAAGUCUCGUGGUGAAAUGCCGGGGCUCAACCCCGUGCCCGCCGGAGAUACUGGGAGGCUGGAGACGAGUAGAGGCAAGCGGAAUUCCGGGUGUAGCGGUGGAAUGCGUAGAGAUCCGGAAGAACACCGGAGGCGAAGGCGGCUUGCUGGGCUCAUGUCUGACGCUGAGGCGCGAAAGCGUGGGGAGCGAACAGG